AUCUACAGCCAUGUCACCCUGAAUGCUCCCAAUCUCGUCUAAUCUCAGAAGCUAAGCAGGAUAAGGGCCUGGUUAGUAUUUGGAAUGGAGACCACCUAGGAAUACCGGGUGCUGUAGGUG
rnacentral:rRNA from 1 species